UACGAACCGUCCAAACGUUAUUCGGAAUCACUGGGCUUAAAGGGUUUGUAGGCGGCCACGCAAGUGGGGUGUGAAAUCCCUCGGCUCAACCGAGGAAUUGCGCUCCAAACUGUGUGGCUUGAGGGAGACAGGGGUAAGCGGAACUGAUGGUGGAGCGGUGAAAUGCGUUGAUAUCAUCAGGAACACCGGUGGCGAAAGCGGCUUACUGGGUCUCUUCUGACGCUGAAAAACGAAAGCUAGGGUAGCGAACGGG
rnacentral:rRNA from 2 species